UCUUCUUCCUGGACACGGACUCCUGCACGGGCACGAGUUCUUCACUGUCCCGACCCAAAUCUUCGAUGGAUUUGAUCCGUUCUUGACCUCUCUCCCACGCCCUACCCUCUAUAUAUUCUGCCCUACUCGUCCUAGUCGGGUUUUCGCCAAAAUCUCCGUCUCCUGUGCCCUACAGAGCCGCCCCGAUCUCGUCGCCGGAGUCCGCCGCCCGAAGCUCCUGUCGCCGGUCUCUUUCGCCGCCGUCAGAGGGGGAGCACAAGGACGACCGCAACGACCGUGGUCCGGAGCUCAACUACCCUGCCGCCGCUCCAGCCGCUCGCCAUCGCUAUCCGAGGAUCUCCCAGCCACCGUCGACGUCGCCAAGAUCACCCCCGAGGAAGUCCGCACCCGUAGGCCAUCCCCUCUUCACCUCCGUGGCCGUCACCUGCAUCACCACCGAACAGCCCGCGUGUCGUUCUUCCCCAAGUCCGGCGGUCUUCUCCUGUUUCUCCGAUUGUCCGGAGUGUGAAGCGGAUCAGAAUUAAGCAUUAGAGUACUUCAACAUCGUUCAAGG